UGUGGGAGCUGGCUUGCCUGCGAUGCUGACGCCUCGGUGUUUCAGUUCCACCGAGGCGAUGCUAUCGCAGGCAAGCCAGCUCCCACA
rnacentral:misc_RNA from 1 species